CAUUCUCUAGGCGGGCUCCUGACUUCAACAACUUCUUAAAAAUAUAACACCUCCAUUCUCCAGGUGGGCUCUUGACUUCGACUACAACUUGAAAAUAUAACAACCUUCAUUCUCCAGGCGGGCUCCUGACUUCAACAACUCCUUAAAAAUAUAACACCUCCAUUCUCCAGGCGGGCUCCUGACUUCUAUUAUGACUUAAAAAUAUAACACCUUCAUUCUCCAGGUGGGCUCCUGACUUCGACUACAACUUGAAAAUAUAACAACCUCCAUUCUCCAGGCGGGCUCCUGACUUCAACAACUUCUUAAAAUAUAACACCUCCAUUCUCCAGGCGGGCUCUUGACUUCAACAACUUCUUAAAAAUAUAACACCUCCAUUCUCCAGGCGGGCUCCUGACUUCACUACUUCCCAAAACAUAAUACCUCCAUUCUCCAGGCGGGCUUCUGACUUCAACUACUUCUUAAAAAUAUAGCACCUCCAUUCUCCAGGUGGGCUCCUGAUUUCAAUAAACAGUUUAAAGAUAACAAACUCCAUUCUCCAGGCGGGCUCCUGACUUCAAUAAACUUUAAAAUGUAACACCUUCAUUCUUCAGGCGGGGCUCCUAACUUCGAUAAACUUUAAAAUGUAACACCUCCGUUCUUCAGGCGGGAUCCUGACUUUAACAACUUCUUAAAAUUAUAACACCUCCAUUCUCCAGGUGGGCUCCUGAUUUCAAUAAACAAUUUAAAGAUAACAAACUCCAUUCUCCAGGCGGGCUCCUGACUCCAACAACAACUU
rnacentral:lncRNA from 1 species